rnacentral:rRNA from 1 species
UUCGGCGGCCAUAGCGAGAGGGAAACGCCCGGUCACAUUCCGAACCCGGAAGCUAAGACUCUCUGCGCCGAUGGUACUGCAGGGGUGACCCUGUGGGAGAGUAGGACACCGCCGGAC